UAGGGAAUCUUCGGCAAUGGGGGGAACCCUGACCGAGCAACGCCGCGUGAGUGAAGAAGGUUUUCGGAUCGUAAAGCUCUGUUGUUAAGGAAGAACGAGUGUGAGAAUGGAAAGUUCAUGCUGUGACGGUACUUAACCAGAAAGGGACGGCUAACUACGUGCCAGCAGCCGCGGUAAUACGUAGGUCCCGAGCGUUGUCCGGAUUUAUUGGGCGUAAAGCGAGCGCAGGCGGUUAGAAAAGUCUGAAGUGAAAGGCAGUGGCUCAACCAUUGUAGGCUUUGGAAACUGUUUAACUUGAGUGCAGAAGGGGAGAGUGGAAUUCCAUGUGUAGCGGUGAAAUGCGUAGAUAUAUGGAGGAACACCGGUGGCGAAAGCGGCUCUCUGGUCUGUAACUGACGCUGAGGCUCGAAAGCGUGGGGAGCUAACAGG
rnacentral:rRNA from 2 species